UGACGGCAGUCAGGUCUUAUCACGGAAUGCAAUCAGAAAUGAGAGAUUUAAACAACUGCAGCCGUCAACCUGGGGCGACCACAGCGAGGAAGGAUAACGGCAAAUGGUGCGGGAAAGCACAGCUCUUACUGUCCUGAGAGCCGACUUACUCCCGAUCUGAAGACAGAAUCAUGAUCUGUCAUCCAAGCCUGGACCUCUGCAGUCAUCCAUAUCCUGUGAUCUUCUCUCCCAUAGGAAUCAAAGUGGUGAAUCUUCUCUGCAUCGCUUCCAUUGUGUGUGCACGGUUCUUGUGUGGCCCACUGUGGCUGCACAGCUUCAGUGAUGAGUUCGAUGCUGAGCUGGGGUACCGACAGUGCAGAAAUUGCACUUCCUCCUGUGAUUGCACGGGUUUCCUUCAGUUUCUUUUGCUUCCUAUACAUCCCAAAGACAUACAGGCUGGUUAUAUGUAAAAGCAUGUGAAUGGCAUACAUCAUUACACCACCACAUUAUGAGAGCACGGCUCACUACGAGUAAAAAAGAACUGAAUGUACAUGUGUUAUCCUUAUGUUUUGGAGAUUUAAAAAUAUAACUGUGGCAAUGAGUACAUUUAAAAUGAACCCAAGACAACUGCCUACCUGUUGAAGCACUGCAAGAUGUUUGAGUUUUAAAAAUAAAGCACAGCACACUUUCUUCACAAUAGGAGAGAAAUGGUCAAGUAAAAUAUAAGCACAGCACAUGUCUUUUUGCAAGAUGGGGAGAGACAGUUGAGUUAAAAAAUGGCAGAAAAUGGACAAAAUCCACGGGUUCAUAAGCAGUGAAAACUGUGUGAUAACUGUAAUAAAUUUUAAAAAAGCAGAAAUGGCUGGCGACAUUGGAAAAAUACACACUUUUGAUUGCACAGAAGAUAUCUGGAUCAUGUAUACUGAGUGAAUUGAGCAGCAUUUUGAUGCAAAUGAAAUAACCAAUGGGAAAUGAGUGUUGAGUUUGCUGAGUGUAAUUGGCAGAGAGCAAGUCAGAUGCUGAAGUCAGUCAUAUCAGUAUUCCAGUGGAGUAAAGGGAAUGACAGAGGCAUGAUUGGAAAAGUACACUGACAUGGAUGACAGAAGGACAGACAGAUUAGGGAAAAGGCAAAGAAGUAGCAGAUGGAAUAUAGUGUUGGCAAGUGUAUGGCCAUACACUUUGAUAGAAGAAAUAAAAGGGUUGAUGAUUUUCUAAAUGGAGAGAAAAUACAAAAAACUAAGAUGCAAAGGGAUUUGGGAGUCCUUGUGCAGGAUUCCCUAAAGGUUAAUUUACAAGUUGAGUCUGUGGUGAGGAAGACAACUGCACCGUUAGCAUUUGUUUCAAGAAGACUAGAAUAUAAAGCAAGGAUGUAAUGUUGAGACUUUAUAAAGCACUGGUGAGGCCUCACUUGUAGUAUUGUGCGCAAUUUUGGGCCCCUUAUCUUAGAAAGGAUAUAUUGAAACUGGAAAGGGUCCAAAGGAGGUUCACGAAAAUGAUUCCAGGAUUGAGUGGCUUGCCAUAUGAAGAGUGUUUGAUGACUCUGAGCUUGUAUUUGCUGGAAUUCAGAAGAAAGCUGUUGUAUUAUAUAGUAUACUGUGUAUGUAUAUUAUGUAUGUAUCUAAGUGCCUAUAAUAUGCAUUCAUCCCCCUGCCCACAGAAGUUUUUAUGUUUUAUUGUUUUACAACAUUGUAUCACAGUGGAUUAAAUUAGCUUUAUUGACACUGAUCAACAGAUAAGACUCUUUCAUAUUAAAGUGAAAAUAGAUUUUUACAAAGUGAUCUAACUUAAUUACAAAUAUAAAACACAAAAUAAUUGGUUGCAAAAUUAUUCAGCCCCUUCAAGUCAGUAAUUAGUAGAUGCACCUUUGGCAGCAAUUGCAGCCUUGAGUCUGUGUGGAUAGGUGUCUAUCAGCUUUACACAUCUGGAUACUGUAAUAUUUACCCCCAACCCCCUUUCUUCUUUACAAAACUGCUCAAGCCCUGUCUGGUUGUAUGGGGAUUGUGAGUGAACAGCACCUUUCAGAUACAGCACAAUUUCUCAAUUGGAUUGAAGUCUGGCCUCUGACUUAGCCAGUCCAGGACAUUAACUUUGUUGUUUUUAAGCCAGUCUUGUAUAGCUUUGGCUUUAUGCUUGGGGGUCAUUGUCUUGAUGGAAAAUAACUCUUCGCCCAAGUUGAAAUUUGCUUGCAGACUGCAUCAGGUUUUCCUCCAGGAUUUCCCUGUAUUUUGCUGCAUUCAUUUUACCCUCUAGAUUCAUAAGCCUUCCAGGGCCUGCUGCAGUGAAGCAUCCCCACAGCAUGAUGCACAGUAGGGAUGGUGCGCUUUUGAUGAUGUGCAGUGUUUGGCUUACACCAAACAUAGCAUUUAGUAUGAUGGCCAAAAAGCUCAAUUUUGGUUUCAUCAGACCAUAGAAGUUUCUUCCAGCUGACUUCAGAGUUCCCACAUGCCUUCUAGAAAAAUCUAGCCAAGAUUUAAUGUGAGUUUUUUUCAGCAGUGGCUUUCUCUUUGCCACUCUCCCAUAAAGCUGCGACUGGUGAAGCACACAGGCAGCAGUUGUAUGCACAGUCUCUCUCAUCUCAGCCGCUGAAGCUUGUAACCUCCAGAGUUGUCAUAGGUUUCUUGGUGGCCACUGUUACAAGUCCUCCUCUUGCAUGGUCACCCAGUUUUUAAAGAUGGCAGAUUUACAGUUGUGCCAUAUUCUUUCCAAUUCUUGAUGAUUGACUUAUCUGUACUCCAAGGGAUAUUCAGUGACUUGGAAAUUUUCUUGUAUCCACCUCCUGAUGUAUGCUUUUCAAUAACCCUUUUGUGGAGUUGCUUGGAAUGUUCUUUUGACAUCAUGGUGUAGUUUUUGCCAGGAUACUGACUUAACAGCAGUUGGACCUUCCAGAUACAGGUGUAUUUUUACUAGAAUCAAUUCAAACACUUUGACUCU